rfam:Schistosoma curassoni strain Dakar, Senegal genome assembly, scaffold: SCTD_scaffold0002366
AUCCAGCUGACGAGUCCCAAAUAGGACGAAACGCACGUCGUAGAU